rnacentral:rRNA from 1 species
UACGUAGGGUGCAAGCGUUAAUCGGAAUUACUGGGCGUAAAGCGUGCGCAGGCGGUUUUGUAAGUCAGAUGUGAAAUCCCCGGCUUAACCUGGGAACUGCGUUUGAAACUACAAGGCUAGAGUGUGGCAGAGGGGGGUGGAAUUCCACGUGUAGCAGUGAAAUGCGUAGAGAUGUGGAGGAACACCGAUGGCGAAGGCAGCCCCCUGGGUUAACACUGACGCUCAGGCACGAAAGCGUGGGGAGCAAACAGG